rnacentral:tRNA from 1 species
CCCCUGGUAGCUCAGUCGGUAGCGCAUGAGACUCUUAAUCUCAGGGUGGUGGGUUCAAGCCCCAUGUUGGGCA